AGCGAACGCUGGCGGCAGGCCUAACACAUGCAAGUCGAACGAAGUCUUCGGACUUAGUGGCGGACGGGUGAGUAACACGUGGGAACGUGCCUUUAGGUUCGGAAUAACUCAGGGAAACUUGUGCUAAUACCGAAUGUGCCCUUCGGGGGAAAGAUUUAUCGCCUUUAGAGCGGCCCGCGUCUGAUUAGCUAGUUGGUGAGGUAAAGGCUCACCAAGGCGACGAUCAGUAGCUGGUCUGAGAGGAUGAUCAGCCACAUUGGGACUGAGACACGGCCCAAACUCCUACGGGAGGCAGCAGUGGGGAAUCUUGCGCAAUGGGCGAAGGCCUGACGCAGCCAUGCCGCGUGGAUGAUGAAGGUCUUAGGAUUGUAAAAUCCUUUCACCGGUGAAGAUAAUGACUGUAGCCGGAGAAGAAGCCCCGGCUAACUUCGUGCCAGCAGCCGCCGUAACAC
rnacentral:rRNA from 1 species